UCUCUUGUCUCUCAUUUGUUUCUUUUUCUUUUCUUUUCAUUUCUACAAACUCCUCUCUAUCACUCUCAUACUCUCCCACCGGUUCCUCUAUGCCACCAUUUCCACCAUCAUUUUUCCGGCAAUGUCACCGGAAAAUCCUUGACAACCUAGAAACCCCUUCACAUCCUUUUCUUUGAGUUGGUGCAAUUAGGCCAUUAUAAGGAGCACAAUGGUUGAAGAAAGAAAGCCUUUUGCUUCAGUCUGUUCAACGGGGUCCUGUCACUGGCUCAGGUCCCAAUCCAUGCACUUACAUCCCUGGUCGGAACAAGGGCAAUUGCCACUAGCGGCUUUCUCUGCCAUCAAAACUCUUGAACAAGAUUAGAGUUCAUGACUAUAUUCACAUUUAAUAUUCAGCAAAAUAUAUAGGAGAUAACCAUGGUGAACUUAAAGUUCUUGUGGCCUUUUUCUUUAUUUAUGUAAUUUUUUUUUCUUGCUUGGGAACAACCAUAUCAAGUAAGUUUGGUUGUGAAGCCACGUAAAUAAUAUAAACCUCAUAAUAUUUUGAAAUCUAUUGAUUCAUUUAUUUUUAUGUAUAAUGAAGUUUUUGUUUUCCUUC